CCACAAACAGCCCUGUGGCAUCGCAGUGGACGGCGGGGCUCCGGGAAGACGCUCUCCUCCCUGAACUCUGCUGAAGCACCCCAUCCUAGGCUCCGCCCCUCACUGGCUCCCUGAGAAGCCCCACCUGCCCCACCCUGGACUGCAGGCCUCUCAGGCCGGCACUAUGGCGCAGUGGGUUAAGCCUCCCCGGGCGAGGCUGGCAUCCCAUAUGGGAGCACCAGUUCAACCCCUGGAUGCUCUGCUUCGGAUCCAGCUCCCUGCUAAUGCGCCUGGGAGAAAGCAGGAGAUGGCCCAAGUGCUCGGACCCCUGCACCUGCAUGGGAGACCUGGAUGAAGCUCCUGGCUCCUGGCUUAGGCCUGGUCCAGGGCCGGCCAUUGCAGCCAUUUGGUGAAUGAACCAGCAGAUGGAAGACCUCUGACACUCUGCCUUUCAAAUAAAUAAAAAUAAGUCUUAAAAAAAAAAACAAC